UACGUAGGGCGCAAGCGUUGUCCGGAAUUAUUGGGCGUAAAGAGCUCGUAGGCGGCUUGUCGCGUCGAUUGUGAAAGCCCGGGGCUUAACUCCGGGUCUGCAGUCGAUACGGGCAGGCUAGAGUGCGGUAGGGGAGACUGGAAUUCCUGGUGUAGCGGUGAAAUGCGCAGAUAUCAGGAGGAACACCGGUGGCGAAGGCGGGUCUCUGGGCCGUAACUGACGCUGAGGAGGGAAAGCGUGGGGAGCGAACAGG
rnacentral:rRNA from 1 species